UCCGAGUUGUCCCCGGCAGUCCCUUUAGAGUCCCCGGCAUUACCCGCUGGCAACUAAAGGCAGGGGUUGCGCUCGUUGCGGCACUUAAGCCAACACUUCACGGCACGAGCUGACGACAGCCAUGCACCACCUGUGCACAGGCCCCGAAGGGCUGCCGUGUUUCCACGACAUUCCUGUGCAUGUCAAGCCCAGGUAAGGUUCUUCGCGUCGCGUCGAAUUAAACCACAUGCUCCGCUGCUUGUGCGGGCCCCCGUCAAUUCCUUUGAGUUUUAGCCUUGCGGCCGUACUCCCCAGGCGGGAUGCUUAAUGCGUUAGCUGCGACACCGAAGGGAAAACCCCCCGACAUCUAGCGCUCAUCGUUUACGGCGUGGACUAC
rnacentral:misc_RNA from 1 species